UGGUUCAAAUCUCAGCAGUGGUGCCUGCUGUAUGAUUGUGAACAGCUUUCACCCAUCUUUGAACCUCAAGAUCUUCAUAGUUGAGAUGGAGAAAAUCCACAAGUUGUUGGGAUGAACAAUUAAAAAGUGAAGGUGUAUAUUUCCCUGGAUAUUAUGUAUAAAACAAACAAAAAGAUUCUGAAAGGUGAAGAAAAGAAGACAGUAUUUUGGGGGCUCAGGACCUGAGGAAAAACAUUGCAGUACCAGCUGCAAACACUGACAACUGAAAGUAUGAUUAAAUGCCGGCAUU